rnacentral:rRNA from 1 species
UACGGGGUGGGCAAGCGUUGUUCGGAAUUACUGGGCGUAAAGGGCUCGUAGGUGGCCAACUAAGUCAGACGUGAAAUCCCCAGGCUCAACUUGGGAACUGCGUCUGAUACUGGAUGGCUUGAAUUCGGGAGAGGGAUGCAGAAUUCCAGGUGUAGCGGUGAAAUGCGUAGAUAUCUGGAGGAAUACCGGUGGCGAAGGCAGCUCGCUGGGACGGUACUGACGCUGAGACGCGAAAGCGUGGGGAGCAAACAGG